GAUGAACGCUAGCUACAGGCUUAACACAUGCAAGUCGAGGGGCAGCAUGGUCUUAGCUUGCUAAGGCCGAUGGCGACCGGCGCACGGGUGAGUAACACGUAUCCAACCUGCCGUCUACUCUUGGACAGCCUUCUGAAAGGAAGAUUAAUACAAGAUGGCAUCAUGAGUCCGCAUGUUCACAUGAUUAAAGGUAUUCCGGUAGACGAUGGGGAUGCGUUCCAUUAGAUAGUAGGCGGGGUAACGGCCCACCUAGUCUUCGAUGGAUAGGGGUUCUGAGAGGAAGGUCCCCCACAUUGGAACUGAGACACGGUCCAAACUCCUACGGGAGGCAGCAGUGAGGAAUAUUGGUCAAUGGGCGAGAGCCUGAACCAGCCAAGUAGCGUGAAGGAUGACUGCCCUAUGGGUUGUAAACUUCUUUUAUAUAAGAAUAAAGUGCAGUAUGUAUACUGUUUUGUAUGUAUUAUAUGAAUAAGGAUCGGCUAACUCCGUGCCAGCAGCCGCGGUAAUACGGAGGAUCCGAGCGUUAUCCGGAUUUAUUGGGUUUAAAGGGAGCGUAGGUGGACUGGUAAGUCAGUUGUGAAAGUUUGCGGCUCAACCGUAAAAUUGCAGUUGAUACUGUCAGUCUUGAGUACAGUAGAGGCAGGCGGAAUUCGUGGUGUAGCGGUGAAAUGCUUAGAUAUCACGAAGAACUCCGAUUGCGAAGGCAGCCUGCUAAGCUGCAACUGACAUUGAGGCUCAAAAGUGUGGGUAUCAAACAGG
rnacentral:rRNA from 1 species